rnacentral:sRNA from 1 species
AGAGCCUCCAGGAAGGAAUGCAGUCUGCUAACACCUUCCUGUUGUUCCAGGGAGACCCAUACAGACAUAUGGCCUGCAGAAUUGUCCUAAACUGACUCUGGGGACUAAAGAAAAAAAGUAUAACUUAUCAUGGAAGUUGCUUAAGUGCAAAAUUAAUUAGGUCAGGGGAGGAUUGGAUAUGGAGAUUAAACUGUCAUGCUUGGAUCUGGAUGAAGAAAAAGAGGGGACUGUGUUGUUAGGUGGAGGAUGGCCUGCAUUCCUGCCUUGUUCCAACGCUUGCUAGCAAGCUGACUUCGGGAAGAUUAGGUAACUCAUCUCAGUUUCCUCAUCUGUAAUGCAAAGGGCACCAUCCAAAAGAAAAUGGCCAUGUUCUUCCUGAUGAGAAAUGUAGGAUACCGGAUUGCUAGCAUCCUUUCAAGUAGCCCAUUAUAUCCAUGUCUCAGAGAAACCAUACACACAGCAUCAUCUCUACCCAUAAAAGGUGGCAUUCUGCAAGACUGAGAAGAUGCCCACCUCCAUUCCCAGAGUCCAGGCCUUCAUUAACUCACA